CAGGGAUCAAACCUGAAUCUCCUGCAUUGGCAGACUGAUUCUUUACUAUCUGAGCCACCAGAGUUUGUAGUGGUUGAUAAUUAUCUGAUACAAAACAUGUAACAAAAUAUAUUUGCUAGAUUGUUUUCCAGAUUGCACCUGCCCUUUGGCAUCCAAUAUAAAGAUUUCCCAUAAAUAUAAACUGUGGUGAAAUUCACUUAAUAAUUACUUUAUAUUAAUCAUUUUUCUCCCCACCCCUCUUCUCACAGUGGCACCAUAUUACUAAAAGCUACAAGUACCUAGGAUUUGUGCCUCAAAUCAAGACAUCAUUUGGCUAAGGAAAUGUGAGAUGCUGAAAGAUGAGAACAGCCAUCCUUCGGUGGAAGUUUGCAGCGCUACAAAACUCAGGAACUGCAGCCCACCAGGCUCCCCUGUUCACGGACUUCCCA